UAGAUUAUAAUUUAAUUUUAAAAGUGCAUAUAUUAGAUCAUGACAAAUUGUGUGCUGGAAAAUAGCUAAUGAAUUGAGGACCAUUUGUUAAUUAUGAAAGUGCAUGUAUUAGAUGAUUGUGACAAAUUGUGUGCUGGAAAAUAGCUAAUGAAUUGUGGAUUGUUUUUCAAUUAUGAAAGUGCAUAUAUUAGAUCAUGACAAAUUGUGUGCUGGAAAAUAGCUAAUGAAUUGUGGACCAUUUGUUAAUUAUGAAAAUGCAUAUAUUAGAUCAUGACAAAUUGUGUGCUGGAAAAUAGCUAAUGAAUUGAGGACCAUUUGUUAAUUAUGAAAGUGCAUAAAUUAGGCUUAGGAAAGGAGUGCAUAAUUAAUUGUUUAUUAAUUUCAAUUUUCUUUUGUUUCGAAGGCGGCCACCUUCUUACUCCGAAUACCUUCUUCGCGUUUCUGCGAUCCUGCUACCAGGAGAAGCUUCAAAACCACAUCCACUAGAUGGCAGUGACUCAAAUAUUAAUUUUACCGAGCCCUUUCGAUAUUAUCGACCUAGUAAUCUCAUAGGAUAAGAACACAAAACAAAGCUUUCAUGCAAUGCUUUUAUACAUCAUUUUCUUAUCAAUUAAGGUAUCAAGGAGAAUUUUCGAAAUGAAUACACAUAGAAUGUACUUUUACCGUGAUAUUUAUUAAAUUAUUAAUUUAUACAACUUACAAUAAUCUACUUACCGACAGACAUUUAAUUCUUACCAUCAGCUGUUUCCACAUUUGACAAAACAUAAUUCAAAAAAGAAAUCUUGUAUAAUUCAUUAAAAAUUUGUCUCAAAUAAGGAAAAUAAAAUCAACGAAUCAAUUAAGAUAUAAGAAAGGUAUUUACAAAAGAAGUUACCGAUCGAGGCAGGAUAAAGGAUUUUCCAUCGAAGUCCAACUCUUUUCCUCUUUUAUAUAUUAAGAAUUUUUAAUAAUCAAUAUUGUCGGAUAUAUAUAUAAUAUAUAUAUUAUAUAUAUAAUAUAAUACAUUAUAUUAAUUGAGACAGUAUGGACACAACGUAUAAUUGGCGCGGUAAGGUGACAAAUUGUCCCUUCGUCGGAGGGUUGCCAGCUUCAAGGUCGGUUACCUCCCGGAUUUUUAUAAUUUUUCUCUCGCUUCUCUCUCGUUAAUUUUGGGCUUCCCCAAACCGCGGGCGGAGCUUUCUCCACGCUUAUCACAACAGGUUUCUUAAGCAUUAAAGUCUUUACGAAAUCGACCCUGAAGAAAGAGGGUGCAAUCGCAAAAACUGUAGAAAUCAAACCAAAAUGUUUUGGAAACCCCCGUUAAGGGUCAAGAAAAAACAAACAGUGUAUAAUGUUCUAUAAACUAUCUUAAAUAAAUUCAAUUCGUUAACCCUUCGAACUCCAGACUUCUCUAAAAUUUCAUAUAUUUUGAUUUAUAAAAGAGUCCGAGAAAGUUAACCGAUGUGCAGAAACCAGUGUUCCAGAAAUUAGGAGGAGUUUAUUCUGAACAAAAUUUCCCUUUGCAGAAAUUCGAUCCGAAGCUCCGUUUUUGAGUUAUUAAGAAAAAACGCUGGGACCAAUCAGAGCCGCGAUGCGCGCGCAGCGGCCGAGCGCGCGAAAUCCUCGCGCUCCCAUUGGUCCCAGUGUUUUUUCUUAAUAACUCAAAAACGGAGCUUCGCAUCGAAUUUUCGCAAAGGGAAAUUUUGUUCAGAAUCAGCUCCUCUUUUGGAGACGCUAGUUUUUAAAUGAAAUUAACCACUCUUUCCACAGAGAUUACUACGCUCACCCCUUCCGGUUACCACUAUCACCACCUUUGUCACAGCCCUCCCUCGGUUAUCAAGGCCAACCACCUCUUCUUUUUUUUCUGUUUAAUUUCUUUUGCCCUCGUAUUAUACUAUUUAGUCUAAUCCCUGAUAUAUAACAUGAACCUCGUUCACAAUCGUAAAAAAAAGGAUCGUGAGACGAAAAUACUCUUCAGCUUCCUUUUUGCCAAGUCUUUCGUGCUCUUUACUCUUUUGCUCACUAACUUGGGGCUCCUGAGGGUUGCAAUUCGUCUUUCGACAUUUUUGAUUUUGGCAAAAUUAUUCUUUUUGGGGAAUUAAGUUAAAAAGACUUGAAUUUAUGAAAUGAUGUGUGGAUUCUUGAAAUAAUGUGUGAUGAAUGACACAUG